CUGGUGUCUGGCCACCAAAGGCAGGCGUGCAGGGCCUUGGCUACUGCGCUAGGUCUGCUGAUGGCCACAAGCCUUUAGUCCCAGCUCUGCCUUAGCAAUGGGGGUGUCUGAAGGCUCAGGGGAUACACAGGUCCUCUAGGUUCCUGGGGAGAUGAUGACGGAGUCUUGCUGUGUUGCCAGGCUGGAGUGCAGUGGCGCGAUCUCGGCUCACUGCAACCUCUGCCUCCCACGUUCAAGCGAUUUUCCUGCCUCAGCCUCCCGAGCAGCUGGGAUUACAGGCACGCACCGCAAUGCCCAGAGUGAGAGUUUCGACCAGGAGUGGAUACUGAGGAGAGCAAAGAUCACCUGGUGCUCAUCAAGCCGGACUUCCAGAGGCAAAGCUCCUUAACUGAAGAAUUCAGAAUCUAUCAUUGAUGGGCAUUUAGGUUGGUUCCAUGUCUUUGCUAUUGUGAAUAGUACUGCAAUGAACAUAUGCACGUCUUUGAGGAAUCACCACCAUGGAAUACUAUGCAGCCAUAAAAAAGAAAGAUAACAUGUCCUUCACAGGGACAUAGAUGGAGCUGGAGGCCAUUCUCCUUAGCAAACUAAACUAUGUAACAAACCUAUACUUGUACCCCAGAACUUAAAAUAAAAGUUUAAAAAAGCCCUUUCCUUUUCAAAUCUAUACUGUUGUUGGUAAAUUCUUCUUACUACCCAUGAGUAAAUCACUUUUUGUUGCCUGAGAUCUGACACCUCACCCAGCAGGCACCUACCAUUUUUACUCCCCAUUUACCUGUCUAAGCAGGAAUUGGUGACUUAACAAAUUUGGAGGAAGAUUUUAGCAGAAAGAGAAUUUGAUCAGAGCCUAGUGACUCUAACUAACAGACCUAUUAGUAGGCAGUCAAGGUUCUCCAGAGAAAUAGAAGCAGUAGGACAUGGGGCAGGGAAAAGGAGAGAGAGAGAGAGAAAGAAAAAGAGAGAGAAAGGUACCAAGGAAUUGGCUCAUGUGUUAGGGGCUGGCCAAGCAAAUCUGAAAUCUGCAGGGCAGGCUGUCAGAAAGGGCAGGCAAGAAACUCUAAGGGCCGAGAGCUGUGGUCCACAGGUAGAAUUUCUUCUUCUCCGGGAAACCUCUUUCUAGUGUGGCAGCAAAUAAUGACUAAAUGGAUUUUGUGGCUAAGGCAGCACAGAGAUAUAGAAAAAGUUCAACAGGUAUUAUUAAAAGGCAUUUAAUCUCUAGGCAACUCAGCUAGAUGAAAUGCAAUGAAAGAGUCGCUGCUUUUUUCAGGAGAGAUACAUGAGGCAUCUUUACCUAAUAAACACCAUUUGUUAUAUUGAAGCUUUAGGGCCGAAGCCAAUGAGUUGAAACUCUUAAAAACAAAAUCUUUUGAAAAUAAUUCUGCACAUUUAGGCGUGUUUUUUUUUUCUCUCCUUUGGGAUCUGAAGAAAAUUUCCUACUUACUCUGCCCAGCCCCCAACCUUUCUUUGGCUUUUGUGAUGGUUUAUUCUGUAAGAUCCACCCAUAGAAUGAGGACCACCUGUAAAGGUCAUCAAAGUUUGUUUAUUCAGAUCUUACCAAUAAGGGACUUACAACGCUUUUCAUUUUUGGCAGAGACUCCCAGGGGUUUUAAAAGAGUUUUAUAGAAUCAAAGGAGCCUUAAGUUUUAAGACAGUCCUUGACUGGGGAG
rnacentral:lncRNA from 1 species